CUCUGGGACAAUGAAUCAGC
rnacentral:snRNA from 1 species